rnacentral:tRNA from 1 species
GGCGCGAUGGCCGAGUGGUUAGGCGUUGGUCUGCAAAACCAGUUACACCGGUUCGAUUCCGGUUCGCGCCUCCA